AGAGACUUGAGUUCUACACUCGGAAGCCGAGGGUUUAUGUAUAAGUUCCUUAUAGUGUAUGAAACCGCGUAAGAGCAAAUUUUUAGAAUUUAUUUAAUUUUGUUGCUUAUUUCAUUUUUUUUUAUAUCUGCCUUUUUAUUUAUUAUGAAAACGACUCCCUACUUUCUAUUAUACUCAAAUAAAAAAUAAUUAAAAGAAUUAACAUUUAUUUACUAAUAAUAUUUUUUAAUAAUUAAAAAUUAUAACCUCGAGUUCGGAAAAUAACUCAAAAAUAAAACUUCAUAGAAGGAAAGCAAAUCCAAAUUUUAGUUAUCAUAUAUGCAUCAUUCUUAGAGGAUAUGCUUUCCAUGUAAAGGAAUUGAAUGUGUAAUCCAAAUUAAGGAGUCGAGCAUCUGAUUUUGUAAUUUACUAUUUGAUGUUAUUAAUUUAGUAUCAAGUAGUGGUAGAAAAUGAAAUAUAAAUAGAAUAUUUUGAAAAAAUAAGCGUGUUGUGAGAGCAAGAAAAUAAGGUGAUGUUGAUAUGGAAAUAAUGACAGCUACGACCAAGUAAGCAACACAAAUUUGUUUGUUCUUUGGUAAAACGACAAGCAAAUGAGGUCAUUUUAUACUUUUAGUCUAUCUUAUGUUAUGGCUUUAGCAAUUUAAUUGGCUCCUAUUAACCUUUAACUGGAUUUUGGUUGUUUUCUCUAACUUUUAUUUCUUCUUAUUUAAAAAAAAAAAGAUGACAAAGAAACAAGAAGGAAGAAGCUAAAUUGAUCAAAAUAAGACUGAUAAUGUCUUCAAAGAUUAUAUAGAAGAGAUCUACAGAAAAGCUCUUUAGUUAAAUGGUAUGUAUCCUCUCAAACAAAUAAAGGGUUGGUGAGGAGGACAACGAUAAUGCAAAGCACGUCCUUAAUCAUCAAAAGUGGUACCACUAAUUACUUUGAAACAGAUUUAGUGACGAAUUCACAAUUGAGUUAUUGGAAACUUUUGCUUAAUUAAUCUUUAAUGAUUCGAAUUUUGUAAGUGAUAUUCAUGAUAAGUACCAAAAAAGAACUUUCUUUUUGUACUUGUAAAUAGGAGCAAUUCAAGACCAUGAAUGUGCCACUGUAAGAAAAGUUAAUAAAAAAAAGGAGAGAAACUAGGUAAGUAAAUUUGGUUAAUAUCAGGAAUUAUUAUAACUAUGUCUAAAAUGUAAUUCAAUCGAUACUAAAAUCAUCCCAAAAUUAACAAAAACAAAAAUUGAUACUUUUUAAUUUAUAUCACUUAGCAACUAUUAAGAAAAGAGAGGGACAACAAUAGAGUUUUAGCAUUUAGCAAACCCUAUAUAUGUGAAACUCACAAAUUAAUAAGGGAUUGAGAGCCAAUACAUACCUAAAAUCAGCAAAGGCCAAAUGUUGCUGUACAAAUAAGUUGGAAACUCUCCCAAAAUAAUGAGAAAGCCUCUCUACAAUUGUUUCUCUAGUUUCUUCACAAAAUGGCAAGAGAUCAAAGAGAGGUUUGGUGGGUGAGUUGAGAAAGUCUCUUCUGAGACAGUGUGUGUAUAAAUAUAUAAAGAAUAGAGAAGAAAAGUGUGGAAUAAGUAAUUACAAUAAUAUUUGAAUGGCAUACAGUUCACAAUUUGUUGUCAUUAGAAUGGGAUAAUGAAAAUACACUUUUUGAUAUUUGGGUACCUUGAGAAGGGGAAGCAGUAAAAAAUGAACCCCCC
rnacentral:lncRNA from 1 species